rnacentral:rRNA from 1 species
UACGUAGGGUGCGAGCGUUAAUCGGAAUUACUGGGCGUAAAGCGUGCGCAGGCGGUUGUGUAAGACAGGUGUGAAAUCCCCGGGCUUAACCUGGGAACUGCGCUUGUGACUGCACGGCUAGAGUACGGCAGAGGGGGGUGGAAUUCCACGUGUAGCAGUGAAAUGCGUAGAGAUGUGGAGGAACACCGAUGGCGAAGGCAGCCCCCUGGGCCUGUACUGACGCUCAUGCACGAAAGCGUGGGGAGCAAACAGG